UUUCUUCACAAAAUUACUAUGAUUUUAAUUAACAAUGGAGCAUAUGCUGUGAGUGAUGAUGUAUAUGACUAUAGUCUCUUAGGUGAUUUGAAUUCAUGUUUUCCUAAUUGUAGGCUAUAAACCUGGAACAACUAGCAUAAGUGAAAAGGAUUAGUAUUGUGCUUAUGAUUUUAUUCUUCGAUUUAGUAUAUAAGUAUGGAAAAGCUAAUGAAAAGCCUGAUUAAGGAAAAUUAAGGAUCAGGAUUUUGCUCACUUAAGUAAUCUUGUUCACUUCUUUUUAUAACAGAUUUGGGUGGUAGAAAGUAGAGCAGCUUGAUUAAUAUAGAGUUUUGAAAAUAAUUCAUUAGUUUUACAAUAUUGAGAAAUUUACUUGAAAAAUCAAGCAAAUAAAUAUAAUCCAAAGAUAGCUCCUCAGUCAUGUGCUAUGGAAGGAUAUAUGAGGUUUGAAAAGGAAUACAUAGAUCAAAGAUAAGACUUCUGUCCUUGAAUUUAAAACCAUUAGUCUAACCACACUGCGUAGCUUUAAUUUCUAUUUUAGCAUAGAAUCGUAGAGAUGGAAAGGUCCUUUGAAGUGAAAAAAUCACAUGAAAUUUCAAUAUGAUCAACAGGUAUUUUCUUAACUACCUAGGUGAUACAGAAGUCUGUGUUGCUCUAGGGAACAUCAAUCUAAGAUAUAGUUUAUGCCCUUCAACUCAAAACAGUCAAUCUUUUAAAAAGUGUACAAUUAUUUGUCUUGGUUUAAAUCACAAACUAUUGCAGCUGAAAAGGGCCCUAGAAUCAGCCCUGUCCAGCUCUCAUUUUUACCACUGAACAGAACAGAGGCCAGGAGAGAUGAAAUGCCUUGCCCAUGCUCUUGAGUUUAGUCAAGAAUGUGGCCUGCUUCCUCCCUUCCAGUGUAGCAUCUCAGGACUAAGUAUCUUGCUGGGCUAUCUGUCAUAUAUACAAAAUAUAGAUAUAUAUAAGUGGAACUAAAAGAAGAAAAAAAGCAAUCAUUCUAUAGUUUUAACUUCCCUCACAUGCUAUAAACCGACUUGCGGGGACCG
rnacentral:lncRNA from 1 species